rnacentral:rRNA from 1 species
UACGGGAGGCAGCAGUGGGGAAUAUUGCACAAUGGGCGCAAGCCUGAUGCAGCCAUGCCGCGUGUAUGAAGAAGGCCUUCGGGUUGUAAAGUACUUUCAGUCGUGAGGAAGGUGUUAAGGUUAAUAACCUUAGCAAUUGACGUUAGCGACAGAAGAAGCACCGGCUAACUCCGUGCCAGCAGCCGCGGUAAUACGGAGGGUGCGAGCGUUAAUCGGAAUUACUGGGCGUAAAGGGCACGCAGGCGGUUAAUUAAGUUGGAUGUGAAAUCCCCGGGCUUAACCUGGGAAUGGCAUUCAAGACUGGUUAGCUAGAGUCUUGUAGAGGGGGUAGAAUUCCAUGUGUAGCGGUGAAAUGCGUAGAGAUGUGGAGGAAUACCGGUGGCGAAGGCGGCCCCUGGACAAAGGCUGACGCUCAUGUGCGAAAGCGUGGGGAGCAAACAGGGAUUAGAUAC